rnacentral:rRNA from 1 species
GCCUGUUUAUCAAAAACAUGGCUCCUUGUAACCUUAUAAAUAAGGAGUCGGACCUGCCCAGUGAAUAUAUUUUAACGGCCGCGGUACCCUGACCGUGCAAAGGUAGCAUAAUCAUUUGCCUUAUAAUUAAAGGCUAGUAUGAAUGGUUUGACAAGAAUACAACUGUCUCCUUAUUAAUAUAUAGAAUUUUAUUUAUAAGUGAAGAAGCUUAUAUAAUAUUAAAAGACAAGAAGACCCUAUCGAGCUUUAAAAAAAUUAAUAGAUUACCUAAUUGAUAUUUAUAAAAAAUUAACUAUUAAAAAUUUUGGUUGGGGCGACUGAGGAACAAAGAAAGCUUCCUUUUAAAAGUAAAAAUAUUCGAAUGUUGAGCCAAGAGUUUUUGAGCAAGGAAAUUAGUUACCGUAGGGAUAACAGCAUUAUCUUUUUUGAGAGUUCUAAUCGAAAAAAAGGUUUGUGACCUCGAUGUUGGACCAGAAUAUCCCAAAGAUGCAGCAGUCUUUAAAGGUUGGUCUGUUCGACCAUUAAAAUUCUACGUGAUCUGAGUUCA